rnacentral:lncRNA from 1 species
GCAAAUAUUUCUUAAAAAGUACUUACUGAAUUAUGUAAUUCUCAGCAUAACAUAGGUGUCUUUUCUUCUGCUUGAGAAAUGAUUGCUUUAUGGACAUUUAGAAGAAGAGCUAAAGGAAUUAUUUUUAUAGUAUUCCAGCUGUUAUUUUUACAAUCCAUCCAUGUAAUGAUUUUCUGAUCAGAUAUAUGUGAAGAAAAUAGUGUCAAACAUAUUAUUUAGUGUUCUUAUUUAGGCACUAUAUGAACAUAGCAUUAGAACCUCAUAUUAUGUUUCCCUGGUUACGACAUCAGUUUGAUAAACACAUUUUCUCUCUUUAUGUAUGCAUGUUUUAAGCGAAGAGUCAAGGAUGUGUUUUGACUUGUUAUGUGUCUAUGGAAAGGUCAAGAGUUGAAGAGAGAAUAUCUAUAACAAUUGGUUAUCUUGCAGUUUAUGAAUUCACUGAUGGGAAAGUUGAGUGAGCGGAGAUAGGCAGCGUCUCUUAUGUGGAUGGUGUGGGAGGUCCCAGGGUGCCCACAAGUGAGUUGUGUAUGUUCCUGAAUGUCCUGGUCAGAUAUACAGCAGUAGCAUCUUCAGGGAUGUUACACCCUUCAUGCAAAAUGAGCCAAUGCUGAGUACUCCAGAGAUACCCUGAAGGCUGUGGUGAGAAUGACAUGUCAAAAUAUCCUAUCUGCACUCUCUGAGCAGUCUAAAAGACAGCUGUUUGGGCCAUGAUUUUCUGGACCAUGAAGUUACUAGAAAAUUUGGAGUGUGUAAGCUUAAAUAAUAACCAGAUAGAAAAUAUUUCUUGGGAGCUAUGUUUUCUGCAAAGGCUCUCUGAACUUCAUCUGUCCUACAACUGUCUUGUCAUGAUACCUGAAGAGACUGUACUCAUGAAGAAUCUGAGGAUACUGCAUCAAGAAAAAAGUAAAGCGAUCUUCCAGAUAUUUAAGUACAUUACAUUAAGAAAUGAAAAUUAAGUUAUGAGCUGGAGACCGGUGGUAAUUUCAGAUGUCCAGAAGCCUUAUAUAAAUGUUUUUGCUUAUUUGACUUGAGCUUGUAAAUUGUGCCUCUGUAGGCUCCUUAAGCUCCCUAUGUGGUAAAGAGGAAAGCUGUAAUGAGGAAAAGGAAAUAUUGAUGCUACAAGCAGUUUAUGCAAGACAGAAGGUGGUGCUAGAAGAGACCCUUGCAAAUUUUGAGCAGUAAUUUUUUGUUAUCUUUUUAAUGUUAAAGAAAAUAUCAUUCUCUUGCUAAUUCAUUUUUGUCGUUGUGAGGCAGCUCCAUCAUCUUUGAAAGGUUGUGGCAAUUGUGGAUGUUCUUGGUAUUGGGGUUGAUACUGGAGCUGAUACACUUUAG